rnacentral:rRNA from 1 species
UACAGAGGGUGCAAGCGUUGUUCGGAAUUACUGGGCGUAAAGCGCGUGUAGGCGGUUUCGUAAGUCGGUCGUGAAAUCCCUGGGCUUAACCCAGGAACUGCGAUUGAAACUGUGAGACUAGAGUAUCGGAGGGGGUGGCGGAAUUCCCGGUGUAGAGGUGAAAUUCGUAGAUAUCGGGAGGAACACCUGUGGCGAAGGCGGCCACCUGGAAGAUUACUGACGCUGAGACGCGAAAGCGUGGGGAGCAAACAGG